rnacentral:rRNA from 1 species
GACGUAGGGCGCGAGCGUUGUCCGGAUUUAUUGGGCGUAAAGAGCUCGUAGGCGGUUUGUCGCGUCGUCCGUGAAAACUCACAGCUUAACUGUGAGCUUGCGGUCGAUACGGGCAGGCUAGAGUUCGGUAGGGGAGACUGGAAUUCCUGGUGUAGCGGUGAAAUGCGCAGAUAUCAGGAGGAGCACCGGUGGCGAAGGCGGGUCUCUGGGCCGAUACUGACGCUGAGGAGCGAAAGCGUGGGGAGCAAACAGG